CCUGGGGAAGGAUCAUUA
rnacentral:rRNA from 1 species